rnacentral:rRNA from 1 species
GAUGAACGCUGGCGGCGUGCUUAACACAUGCAAGUCGAACGAAGCAUUUAGAACAGAUUAUUUCGGUAUGAAGUUCUUUAUGACUGAGUGGCGGACGGGUGAGUAACGCGUGGGUAACCUGCCUUGUACUGGGGGAUAGCAGCUGGAAACGGCUGGUAAUACCGCAUAAGCGCACAAUGUUGCAUGACAUGGUGUGAAAAACUCCGGUGGUAUAAGAUGGACCCGCGUCUGAUUAGCUAGUUGGUGAGAUAACAGCCCACCAAGGCGACGAUCAGUAGCAGACCUGAGAGGGUGACCGGCCACAGUGGGACUGAGACACGGCCCAGACUACUACGGGAGGCAGCAAUGGGGAAUAUUGAACAAUGGAGGAAACUCUGAUGCAGCGACGCCGCGUGAGUGGGGAAGUAAUUCGUUAUGUAAAGCUCUAUCAGCAGGGAAGAUAGUGACGGUACCUGACUAAGAAGCUCCGGCUAAAUACGUGCCAGCCGCUGCGGUAA